rnacentral:rRNA from 1 species
GACAGAGGGUGCAAACGUUGUUCGGAAUUACUGGGCGUAAAGGGCGCGUAGGCGGCCUUCUAAGUCAGACGUGAAAUCCCCCGGCUUAACCUGGGAACUGCGUCUGAUACUGGGAGGCUUGAGUAUGGGAGAGGGAUGUAGAAUUCCAGGUGUAGCGGUGAAAUGCGUAGAUAUCUGGAGGAAUACCGGUGGCGAAGGCGGCAUCCUGGACCAUAACUGACGCUGAGGCGCGAAAGCUAGGGGAGCAAACGGG